CGUCUCCCUGUCCCCGCGCGACCAUCGCCGGUGGCCACGGGCGUCCUCAUCGCCGGCGACCGCGUCCAGCCUCAUCGCCGAGAUAUGCAUUAGAAAGAUCCGUGGAAGACCAUGGCGAGCUGCUGCUUCUGAUCCGUCAGUCCUUCCUCUUUCCUGAACGAUCUACUACAACACACAUCGCAGAUCGAACUGCCUGUCCUAGGAAUCAACUGAUGGGUAAAGUGUGGGACUGAGGCAAGGAUGGUGCUACAGCUCUCCUGGAGGAUCGCGGGGAUGGCCCUGAGGAUGGCAGCAGCACUGGAUCCGAUCACGGGGAUGGGAUGGCUCUGAGGAUGUUAGCAGCAGUGGAUCCUAUGAGCAAAGGAGAACUUCCGUUGGUCCACGUGCGGUGCAAUUAUUGUCCACUCGUGCAAACUUCCAUACCAGAGGUAUCUACAGGGCGCAGGAGGGGGCAGCACAAGAGGAAGGAAUGGUGGAUUUGGUACCCAUUGGACCAUAUAGGAUUCUAGAGGUUUAUGGCACCUUGGGCUUAUGGUUUACCCAGCCAUCGAAGAAGGUUGGAGUGUUAUUAUGGAGGAUGAUGAAGGUGAGGAAUACACACAAACCAACACACGAACCAUUGAUGGAGGCCUUGGCCGCAAGUUGGAGAUCACGUACUUGGUGAUGCCCAACGCCAUUGAGACCCAUGUUGAGGUCAGGUUGAACCUCAAAGACCUCGGUUCGAGAAGCCGCGCCGUGUAUGGUAGCAUCAAGGCAAGUGCCAUUGACCAUGGGGAGCAAAAGCGUCCAUCUCUUCAGUUGUUACCUAGGGAGGAGCUUGUCCUUUCCCUGUGGCUCCACGUGCAUUCUUCCACUGAGUCCCACAUGUGAUUGCAUUGCCCUAUCGUCGACAUUUCAAACUCCAUAUAGAGGUGGACCUAAGAAUAAUCACAACCUGCGACAGCUAAGAAGAGGGUAAGAAUUUGAAAUUCUGUCUAGAAUUCACCCGUAGAGUUACGAGUCUAGAAAGAGAAGUUGAUGGUGAUCAAGUUGAAGUGAACAUCACCUGGUACCUAGAUAGGGUAAUUUAGUGAACAUCACCUGGUACCUAGAUGGUUAUCAUGUUGAAGUGAACAUCACCUCUACCUAAAACGGAGGUAGAAGAUGACUAAAAUAAGUGAAGGGAUGUGCCACAUCUGGAACUUUGUGUGUGUUUGCAAA